UACGGGGGGAGCAAGCGUUGUUCGGAUUUACUGGGCGUAAAGGGCGCAUAGGCGGUAGCACAAGUCAGUUGUGAAAUCUCCGGGCUUAACUCGGAAAGGUCAACUGAUACUGUGCGACUAGAGUGCAGAAGGGGCAACUGGAAUUCUCGGUGUAGCGGUGAAAUGCGUAGAUAUCGAGAGGAACACCUGCGGCGAAGGCGGGUUGCUGGGCUGACACUGACGCUGAGGCGCGAAAGCCAGGGGAGCGAACGGG
rnacentral:rRNA from 1 species